UUGCUGCCCUACUUGGGCAUCUCCUCCCUGAACUUCGGGCCGCUCUUGAGAGCGGCCUUUUUCU
rnacentral:sRNA from 1 species